UACGUAGGGUGCGAGCGUUAAUCGGAAUUACUGGGCGUAAAGCGUGCGCAGGCGGUUCGUUGUGUCGGCGGUGAAAGCCCCGGGCUCAACCUGGGAAUGGCCGUUGAAACUGGCGAACUGGAGUGUGGCAGAGGGGGGUGGAAUUCCGCGUGUAGCAGUGAGAUGCGUAGAGAUGCGGAGGAACACCGAUGGCGAAGGCAGCCCCCUGGGCUGACACUGACGCUCAUGCACGAAAGCGUGGGGAGCAAACAGG
rnacentral:rRNA from 1 species